rnacentral:rRNA from 1 species
UACGUAGGGGGCUAGCGUUGUCCGGAAUCAUUGGGCGUAAAGCGCGUGUAGGCGGCCCGGUAAGUCCGCUGUGAAAGUCGGGGGCUCAACCCUCGAAUGCCGGUGGAUACUGUCGGGCUAGAGUGCGGAAGAGGCGAGUGGAAUUCCUGGUGUAGCGGUGAAAUGCGCAGAUAUCAGGAGGAACACCAAUUGCGAAGGCAGCUCGCUGGGACGUGACUGACGCUGAGACGCGAAAGCAUGGGGAGCGAACAGG